CCUACGGGUGGCAACAGUGGGGAAUAUUGGGCAAUGGGCGCAAGCCUGACCCAGCAACGCCGCGUGAAGGAAGAAGGCUCUCGGGUUGUAAACUUCUUUUAUCAGGGACGAAGCAAGUGACGGUACCUGAUGAAUAAGCCACGGCUAACUACGUGCCAGCAGCCGCGGUAAUACGUAGGUGGCAAGCGUUAUCCGGAUUUACUGGGUGUAAAGGGCGUGUAGGCGGGAAAGUAAGUCAGAUGUGAAAACCAUGGGCUCAACCUGUGGCCUGCAUUUGAAACUGGUUUUCUUGAGUACUGGAGAGGCAGACGGAAUGCGUAGUGUAGCGGUGAAAUGCGUAGAUAUUAGGAGGAACACCAGUGGUGAAGGCGGUCUGCUGGACAGCAACUGACGCUGAGGCGCGAAAGCGUGGGGAGCAAACAGGAUUAGAUACCCUGGUAGUC
rnacentral:rRNA from 1 species